CAUUCUUUUUCUGUAAAUGGCACUGGUAGAAUUCACGGAUUAUAAUACCAACCGUGUUCUCCCGGUCGCCAUCUAUGGAGAGGGGAAA
rnacentral:pre_miRNA from 1 species